rnacentral:misc_RNA from 1 species
UCUGUCAUUUGCGAGCUAUUCUGGCGUACGCUGCAAAAACUGUAGAGUUUACACGUAUUUAAUGUAUAAGAGAAAUGUUUAUCUUAAUUAGUCCUACAAAAAAGUCCGCGACAGCAUAUAUCUAUCUUUUAUGAUUAAGCCAUUAUCGCAAAAACAGUGAACCAUAAAUACAAUAAAAAUUGAUAAUAUAUUUCUAAUGCAUAUUUGGUAGUAACAAACUGAUUUUUAUGUCGCAGAACCAAUUUUGAUGAAUUUUGGUAUGAGAUAGAUAUUGAGAAGAGAAUAAGCUACUCGAAGUAUUUACUAAUCCUGCGCAGGCAAAGUCGCGGGUAUCAGCGAGUUUUUAAAUAAAAGAUUAGAACUGCAGUAAAAUAGUGUUUGAAAAAAUAUUUUUGGAGUUACAUUAUAUUACAAAUACGCUCUUUGUAGUAAUAUAAAGGAGAGUAUUCUCUAAAAUUAUUAAAAAUAAAAAAUACGUAAUAGGCUUAGGCCCUUUUAUUUAUUAUGAUAUAGAGCAUGCCAAGGUCAAUGUGUAGAUAUACUAUAUACUUAUAUUUAUUAUUAUUUUUUUAUUUUUUUUUUUUUCAAAAGCUCAAGGCAAACAUUUUAUUUCAAACAAAAUAAAACUAAUCAAACUAUACAAUUUAGUAAAUAAUACAAAAAUAAAAGUAACUUGUAUGUAAAUAAAACUUAAAAAAACACUUAUUUAUUAAAAUGUUUUUUUUUUUCUGUUUAUAACAAAUAUCUUUUUAGGCGAUUUUAUUUUUAGCAGUCAUAAACUAUAAUGUAAGGUAAAUUUACUUUGCCACUGCCACCUUUACAGUUUGUGUAUCACUAUCUACAAUCACUUUUUAUUAUAUCAUGUAAAUUUGAUCAUAAAAAAGUAAGUUUUAAUAAUAGAAAACAUAGCAGAUGCUUAAAAAUUCUACAAGCAUCAAAGGUGUUUCAACACAAUAUACUUAAAACUGAUGGCUCGUCAAAAUAUACUACAGUAACACAUUACUUUUUUAAAGAUUGUGUAAUCGUAAAUGAAACUUGUUUUAAGCAAGUUGCUUGAAAAUUUAAACUAUAAUUCUGUACUUUUAAGAUUCCCUCCAUACAUACAAAUAUCAUAACUACUUUAUAAUUUCAAGAGUUAUCAUGAUCCUAGGUGCUUAACUUACAUGAGCCCCAAGAUUUGACACUGGUUGAUUUAUACAAGAAAUAAAUAACUUCACUUAUCAGUCUCAACACUUUAAAAUCUAUUUACAACAUUGUAAUUAAUUCUCCCUAAGUCAAGUAACAUACUGAUUACAUCUACAUGAAAGCAUUAAGGCAUAACUUAAACAAAAUAAGUAAAUGUUCUAUCACCACAGAGUGUUCUGUUCAACUUUUUAAUGACAAAACAAAUGGAAUGAUAAAUAAUUUCAAACAUAAUUCCACAAAACUAUAGAGAGAAAAAAAACAUACUAAAUUCUAGACUAAAGCCAAUACUGAAUGAUCAAUGUUUGAUUUAAAGUAAACAAUUUAUAAAAAAAAAUACACUAAUAAAUAGAAUCAUUAUGCUUUGAGUAAUUUAAACCAUAUUUUCAUGGAUUUCGUACCGUUACUUACUUAAUAAACAUUUAUAAGAGCAUUAUUUUUUAGAAUACAAUGGGGCAAAUUACUUUAUACUAAUGAAUAACUUUAAAGUAAUAAUACUUGCUGA